AUCUGACUUGAGCUCUUGGACUUGAGGGGGGUCUCUUCCUCUAAGUCAGAUUUUCAUUUCUGCAUUUUCCCUCUCUCUAAAAGAAGAAGUUCUUAUGCCCUAACCAAGUUCCUCCAUCUUCUCUCUAAAAUUCCAGAAAUAUGAACCGUGCAAAUUUUAAUUGAGUGCUGCCAAACCCUUCCUGGCAGAAAGGGCUUCCAUUUGAACCGAACACUUCUCAGUUUCAGUUGGUCCUGUCUUGUUCAGCACAGUGUAAGGGUUACUGUUGGAGCGUUCCCUGAAUUUUUGGUUGUGAACUUUCCAGAGGAGAAUGACGUCUCUGGGAGAACGUUCUGGAGGAACAAGAAGACCCUGCUGCUGCCUAGACCCUAGGAAUUUUCUUCUACCAUUUACAUGUUCUGUAUUUUGAAAUACUUAGAGUUUCUUCCACGUUUUUUUUUUAAUUUUCUUAUAAUUCUGGAUUACUGUAAUCCUAGCUUAAUUACCUUGAACACUCUAACUGCUUUAUUAUAUCAUCUAUGAU